AUUGAACGCUGGCGGCAUGCCUUACACAUGCAAGUCGAACGGCAGCACGGGAGCAAUCCUGGUGGCGAGUGGCGAACGGGUGAGUAAUAUAUCGGAACGUGCCCAGUCGUGGGGAUAACGUAGCGAAAGCUACGCUAAUACCGCAUACGAUCUAUGGAUGAAAGCGGGGGAUCGCAAGACCUCGCGCGAUUGGAGCGGCCGAUAUCAGAUUAGGUAGUUGGUGAGGUAAAGGCUCACCAAGCCGACGAUCUGUAGCUGGUCUGAGAGGACGACCAGCCACACUGGGACUGAGACACGGCCCAGACUCCUACGGGAGGCAGCAGUGGGGAAUUUUGGACAAUGGGCGCAAGCCUGAUCCAGCAAUGCCGCGUGCAGGAUGAAGGCCUUCGGGUUGUAACUGCUUUGUUACGGAACGAAACGGUGAGCUCUAAUACAGUUUG
rnacentral:rRNA from 1 species